GUAACAUGUCGGAGUCUACAGACCCCCACCACAAGGGGGAGCUGUCUGCCGCUGGUUUCUGGUGACUCCUUGGGACUCCUGCUGUCGCCCCAGAGUUGAAGGAGAUUUCAUCAGGGCUGGAAUUUGAUAUGGAAACAAUAUCUGGAGAAGAUGUUUUCCCUUCACCAGGCUUUAUUGCCACUGCAUUGAAAGUCACCAAUUUGUGGGGAGAAGGUCUGAGGAGAAACAGACGGGUUCCACCUGAAGAGUGAGGCCCGGUUCAAACUCAUUUUUCCACCUCUGCAUUCCCAAGGAUCCUGCCUGUUAGCACACCCAACAAUCACCCAUGUCCAGCCCCACGGUGUGCCCAGACUCACCCACAGUCCUGCAGCCAGUCUUCAAUCUUGUUGAUUGGAUUCCCUAGAGAAGUCAAAUACCAGAUUAUUGCGAGAAUGGAAGAAAACAGACCUCUGCCCUGCCCAACUCACCUCUUACCCCAUUCCACAAUUUUGUCCGUAUGUAAGUCACAUUUUGAUCCCUCCCCCAAUCUUUUCUGUAAGAUGCAAGUAAAAUAAAACCAUAUAUAAGGACAGUGGAUCUGUCUUCUCUUUGCCUGUCUUCUCCUUGGGAACCUAGGAAAUGUCCAAGCCAUCAGUCCACUUUCUUUUCCUCAAGUUUUGGGAACAGAGAUGGCUCCUUUUCAAAAACCAAACCAAACCAAAACCAGAACAAAC
rnacentral:lncRNA from 1 species